rnacentral:piRNA from 1 species
UGGGAAUGGUCAGAAGACCAGAGGUCUGAU